CACAUUAUUAAAACACUGAAUUUUACAAGACGGCAUUGUUUUCACCAUGCAAUUAAGUCUUAGAAUACAGAUUCCUUCAAACAAUACAGGUUUCUUUACAAAUUACAACUCAAGAUUAAGCUGGUAUUCCUGAGUUUUGACAUUGAGUCAUAUUCCUGAGUUUUGACACUGGCUUGACUCAAGCACAACGAAUUUAACAACUCCUGCAAUCCAGAAAAGACACCCUGUAAGAAAAUCACCCAACACAACUCACCAAGUUAAAUGAACAAAAAAACACUUUGCAACGAAACCCAUUUUACUCGGUCGUCA
rnacentral:lncRNA from 1 species